rnacentral:rRNA from 1 species
GACGAACGCUGGCGGCGUGCCUAAUACAUGCAAGUUGAGCGAUGAAGAUUGGUGCUUGCCCCAAUUUGAAGAGCAGCGAACGGGUGAGUAACGCGUGGGGAAUCUGCCUUUGAGCGGGGGACAACAUUUGGAAACGAAUGCUAAUACCGCAUAACAACUUUAAACAUAAGUUUUAAGUUUGAAAGAUGCAAUUGCAUCACUCAAAGAUGAUCCCGCGUUGUAUUAGCUAGUUGGUGAGGUAAAGGCUCACCAAGGCGAGGAUACAUAGCCGACCUGAGAGGGUGGGCGGCCACAUUGGGACUGAGACACGGCCCAAACUCCUUCGGGAGGCAGCAGUAGGGAAUCUUCGGCAAUGGACGAAAGUCUGACCGAGCUACGCCGCGGGAGUGAAGAAGGGUUUCGGGUCGUAAAACUCUGUUGGUAGAGAAGAACGUUGGUGAGAGUGGAAAGCUCAUCAAGUGACGGUAACUACCCAGAAAGGGACGGCUAACUACGUG